GACGAACGCUGGCGGCGUGCCUAAUACAUGCAAGUAGAACGCUGAAGGAGGAGCCUGCUCUUCUGGAUGAGUUGCGAACGGGUGAGUAACGCGUAGGUAACCUGCCUGGUAGCGGGGGAUAACUAUUGGAAACGAUAGCUAAUACCGCAUAACAUUGACUAUUGCAUGAUAGUCAAUUGAAAGGUGCAAUUGCACCACUACCAGAUGGACCUGCGUUGUAUUAGCUAGUUGGUGGGGUAACGGCUCACCAAGGCGACGAUACAUAGCCGACCUGAGAGGGUGAUCGGCCACACUGGGACUGAGACACGGCCCAGACUCCUACGGGAGGCAGCAGUAGGGAAUCUUCGGCAAUGGGGGGAACCCCUGACCGAGCAAACGCCGCGUGAGUGAAAGAAAGGUUUUUCGGAUUCGUAAAAGCUUCUGUUGUAAAGAAGAAAG
rnacentral:rRNA from 1 species